rnacentral:lncRNA from 1 species
CCCUCCCCUCGCGGGGACGGGGGCCGGGGGCCGGCACGUCGCCUCGGCCGGCGCCUAGCAGCUGGCUUAGAACUGGUGCGGACCGGGGGAAUCCGACUGUUUAAUUAAAACAAAGCAUCGCGAAGGCCCGAGGCGGGUGUUGACGCGAUGUGAUUUCUGCCCAGUGCUCUGAAUGUGAAAGUGAAGAAAUUCAAUGAAGCGCAGGUGAACGGCGGGAGUAACUAUGACUCUCUUAAGGUAGCCAAAUGCCUCGUCAUCUAAUUAGUGACGCGCAUGAAUGGAUGAACGAGAUUCCCACUGUCCCUACCUACUAUCUAGCGAAACCACAGCCAAGGGAACGGGCUUGGCGGAAUCAGUGGGGAAAGAAGACCCUGUUGAGCUUGACUCUAGUCUGCAACUGUGAAGAGACAUGAGAGGUGUAGGAUAAGUGGGAGGCCCCCGCUCCUUCGCGAGCCACGGGGCGCCGCCGGUGAUUGUUUUUUCACUUACCCGGUGAGGCGGUGUAACCGUUCGUACUCCAAUUUACCGAUAUAACGUCUUAUAACUUAGAAUUUAGCAGGGCUAACCAUACAGAUAUCUUAGCUAAAUAUUGUAUAGUCGGUAUAGAGUUUCUCUAUUUAAAAUACAUAAAUAAUUGAGAAUACAAUAAAAAUAGGAGUUGGAAGCAAUAACUUUUGUCUUAUUAAUAUAGUUUAUUGGAUAAAUGAAUAAAGAUUCAUUAAUAUAUCAUAAAGCAGAGUAUACAAGAUUAAAUGAAUAAAUGCUUGCAAUAUAAGGUAGUAGUAUAACAUACCCUCCUGAUUAUACAGGUAAUCUCUCAGUAUGUCACCUCCAGAGUCGGUCAGUAUGUCUCUAUCUAGCAUUGAUCUAGCAUGUAUAUAUAGUAUAGCAUUUCUAAUUACUACUGGUAAUGUAUGGGUUAAUUCAUCUUAGGGUUAAAAGCAGUUCAUAUAUAAAAAUAAAGGAAAAAACACCCUUAUCAGUCUAAUGUCAUAACCUAGACAUCUUUAAUCUGUAUUUGGACUAGAAGUUAGGUUGACAUACACCUUAGGGUUAAGAGAAGGUCAUAUAUAAAAAAAUAAGUCUAAUGUCAUAACCUAGACAUCUUUAAUCUUUAUUUGGACUAGACGUUAGGAUGACAUAGGCAAAGCCUUGAAUUGUUAUUGCAUUAAAUUAAGACAAGAUGGAGUAAACAUGUUGUGUACUGUAAAUAGGUAAAAGGUUAUUAGUUAAAGAAACAGUUGCAGUUUAAAGAAAUACGAUGUAGCAAUGUGUAUUAUACCCACAAUUGCCCAUCACACCCUCCUGUUUAAACUGAGGGUUUCUUUGAAGAAUAUUUUUUCUUUCUUUGCUUAACACCUCCCUGCUCAUGUAAGGGAGGGGACUGUGGUGAAUAGGACACAGUGGAAGGGACAGAAAUGAAACAAUUACAAUCAUAUAUACCUGUGUGAUUGCACAUUAUGUCAUCGUGAUCAGUACGUAAAUAAUAAAAUUCACCUGGCAUAUAAUGUGUUAUGUCAUUUUGAGUAAACUCUUUUCUCAUGUCAGUUUUCCAAAUUCCACCCCAGCAUUUAUUAAAAUUUCGUGUACACACCAUAACUGUUGUGAUCCCAUAUGCACCAUGAGAGACAAUCUUAAUAUGACCAAUAUCUUUGAUUAAAGCAUAUAGCUGGAAUAUCUCUUUAGCUCGAUCCAUGCAUUUAAUGGAUGGUUGAUUGUAGUGAGUCAAAAGAGCUGUUGUCUGACAAAAAUUUAAGAAGGUCAUCAAAUCCCUCGGUAGUAUAUUCAUGGCUGGAUCCUGAAAGGAGAAGCAUGUCAAAGUCAUCAAUUGCCUGUUGUAAUCCAAGUUUCUGGGGUGCAUUUCUGGUGGUGGUGAUUGUUUUGGAGCGUCUGGAUACCGAGUUAGUAUUGGUAGCAGGUAUUCCUUUAACAUCAUUGGUUGCCAUAAGGACACUGGCACCUUUGCUCUUGGUGUUUGUCUUUGCAUGUUUCCUCUUCUGUGAUACAUUUUUACACCUCCUAUAAUGUGUAUAGAUUGGAUAUAUGUAAUGAUAAUUGUUCUGAUAUUUCUUUAUAGAAACAAAACCUUUGUUAGGUCUAAAGAUAUAUGGGUUAUUGGAAUCAGCAAAAUAGUUAUGGCAAUUCCUACAUUGGUAUUUAAAAUAAUAUUGUCCUGGUACAAUUUCUUUAAAAGUUAAGAUUGCUCUUUUAUGCAAAAUCUCUCUAGAUCUUUUUGGUAUAGUUGAUAAUUGAAAACAUGUAGAAAUGAAUUUAUUCAUGUUUCUUUGCCCUGUGAGGGAGAAAAGAAAUGAUUCUCCAAGUUACAAUUAGUAAAAAUAUAAUAAUUAUAGUUAUCAUUAUUGGUUUCAAAUACCAGAAAAUACUAAAUCCUGUUCCUAUUACCCCUUUAACAAGAUUCGCUAAAGAUUCAGCUAUGCUUUGAACAGUUUUACCAAUUGAAGGUAAAAUAGGAGUCAAUAUCUUACCAAGUUCUUUCAGCCAGUAUGGGAAAUCUCUCUCGUGGUCUUGAAUAUUGAGAAGAGAAAGCCUAACUCUUAUUAAUAUAUCUUGCACUUGCUCGUGGGUGGAGCAUAAGGUGAUUUUGAGUUGUUGUAAGUGAGCCAAGAAAGCACUCAUAUAUGGAAGUUUUAAAGAUAUUGGGGGUAUGUGUAUUUUAACGAUAUCUGUUAGUUUAUAAUUUUGUAAAGGAGGUUUUAACAAUCUUCCAUAACAGUAAAUGUCAUAAUCCGUGGUUACAAUUAAUGGCUGUAAAGCAGGUAACUUGCAAUCUGAAUAAGGACUCAUAAUUAAAUAAGAACCAUUUCUUAAAGAUUCAAAGUACAGAUAAUCAUUUUGUAUUGGUUCUAUAUUAAGUAAGCAAUCAGCUGAUGUGGCAGGAUUAUUUCCACAAGGAGUCUGUACUUUGACAUCUUCACAUAUUACAUAACUUUUUUCUUGGCAUCUAGAAACAGACAAAUAAUAUAUCUGAUCACAUGUCUUUGAUAUAUAUUGAUAUGGAUGUUGUAUUGUUAUCUUUGCCAACUUUUCACCUGUUUGUAACAGGUGACCUAUAUUAUCAAGCUUCCAAUUCGUGGUGUAUAUUUCACCUGGAAGAGUUAACUCAUAAUAAAUUUUAGCUUCCCACUGGCUAACCUUGGCAUUGUUUAAAUGUUUCGUUUCUCUGAUAUCAUAAACAAAGGUCUGAGAAAUGUGCAAUAACACUUCGAUUUGUUUCUUAGUUAAUUUUAACCUUUGAAGCACUUUAGUUAUGUUAACCAGACUUGUAUCAAUUAAACCAUUUUGUAAAUUAGAUCGAAUAUCAAAAAUCUUCUGAUUCAACAUAGAUAUUUUCACACUUUCUUCUAGUGUAGAAAUAUCAUAUAUUAAUGCUGCAGUAAGCGUUAUCAGGUGGUCUUUAAGAAUCAAUAUACCUUGACGUAGCAAUUCAUCAUUUAGAUCAGAAUAAUGGGAUACAACCUGAAUAGCUUCUACAAGUAAUUGGCCGGUAUAUAGGAAGGAGUUUGCAUUGGUUAACAAAGUCCUUCUUCUGCGAGACACACGUCUCAUGUUACAUUCAUCUGGAUCACUAUUUUGUAUAUUUUUAUAUGUAAUAUCUAAAAAUGUUUUAUUAGUAGGCCAUGCUGCGAUUGCAAAUGGCAUCUCUGCAACAUUCUGUAAAGUACAAUUCUGAAAUUCACAAGGUCUAUCUUCAUUAGCGAUUAAAACAUACAUUUGAGUUUUUAUACCAUUAAUUACAAUAUCUGUAUUAUAUAUCAUACUGUCACUGACACAUUUCUGAUACAGGGAGUAUACUAAAUAAUUUGCAUUAAUACUUAUCGGUUUCCUCUCGAUGCACCACAUUCCUGGAAGUCCAGAAUAUAGCAAAAAUCCUUGGUCUAUGUUUUUAGGGAGCCAUUUAAAGUUCUGAUUGGUAUAAUUAUACCAGAGAGAGCAAGGAGCACAACGGUAGAUUAUAUCUGGAUUAGAACCAUUACAGAUUCCUUGUUUUAUCAAUGUCUCUGUAGUUAUGUUACAGGAAUUUCUUGCUUUGCAGGUAUGUACAUAAUAUGUGGAGUUAAGAAAUGCUGCAAAUCGGGGUUUAGUACAAGUGUCCCAUGGGGUCAAGUCUCUAAAAAGCUUUUGUUGACCAUUCAUAUUCCAUUCUUUUGGCAAUGCUUCUGCUUUUAAUAGGCCUGUCUUAUUGUUGCUCAUCAACUGCUGCAAGGUUUCUUUCACUAAUUGAUGUAUUUCAUCUGAAUUCAAAUUCACACGCCACCAUGAGUCAUUAUAAAGUUCAUUACUACAGAAUAUGGUUCCAGUGUGGUUUCUCACUCCACCAGGAAAUCUAUAUUCCUCUUCUUCUGCUCCUUCCCAGUAACCAAUUUUUCUGAAUUGUAGGUAAAAAUCUGUGUCUUAUACUGAGAGGUGCUUAAAUAAUCAAUUAGGUAUUCUUUGUACUGUAUUCCAUCUUGGGUAAUACCUGGACGUGGACAGUGAUCAGCCUUUAUUUCUGAUUCCGGCCAUCUUCUGUUUGACUGGAAAUUAACAUAAUAACAAUGUCCAAAAUUAGCAUAGCACAUCUUUUCAGCAUAAGAAGGCUGUUUGCGAUAGUCAUCCAAUGGUAAACUAUAUGGCAAAGUCUUUUCUUGAAUCACUUUCAUAUGUGCAUCCAAAGUUUCUUUGACAAGCAUCUGUCCCGUCUCACUUUUAAUUCCAGCAUCUUUAGCCAUCACUGCUGAGUCUAGUAUUAGGAUUUGAGAUAGUCCAAUCACUUGUUUCUUGUGUAUAAUUGGUUUUGGGUAUGGUUUCCAAUAGGUUCCUUGUGGAAUACCAGAAUACGUCACAUUGGCGAUUACUUCGCUGUGAAUUGUGUCUCUUUUCAUAAGAUGGUUCCUGGAGGUCAUCCUCAUGAUCAUGGAACUUGUAUUGUAUGCAGUCCAAUUCAAUACGGGAGCUUCUUGGUUGUUAACAUAAUCCCAAUGCAGUUUCAAAACGACUACUAGGGUUGAUGUUAUCAUGAUAAUGCUGCAGAUAGUAAUAAAGAGACACCACAUCCAAUUCUUCAGUAUCCAUUUGCUUCCAUCUUUGCACUUCUUUCUUACUGUGUUCCAUACUUUAUGUAAAGUCUGUUUUUCUGGUAAUGAUGAUUCAUGUUCCAAUUCUUCCAUAGCAAUUGUAAAUAUGUCAUUUUUUGUUCGUAGAUCCUUCUCCUUUGCAUUUUCAAUUAUCUGAUCAUGAGUUGGUCUAUUGCGAGGCUGUGAGAUGGGUUGCUUUUCCAUCCUCUUUUGUGUUUCUCUUGCUUCCUUCGACAGUAUCCACUGUGUCAGGGUCAAUGGUUCUGUGGACAUCUUGGAAAUACUUUGCUGGUUUUAAAUUAUCAAUGCUUACUGUUCUCUGUUGGCCUUGUUUGUUCUCCGUAAUAAAAGUUCUCGGAUUUAAAAUCGUCACGAUUUUCACAGGCUUUUUCCAGCGUGAUCGCAGGGGGCGUAGUGUAUGGACCCUCUCCAGGACGAACUGGCCAACAGUAGGAACCCAAGUAGUAGGUGACGGAUUGUGGUGCGUUGUGGGUCGAGAAAACAAUUCUCUAAUUUCCUCUAACAGAACCAGCUGUUCUAAUCUCCCUGGUGCAGAAAUAUGUUCAGUAAAAGUUGUGUUACAAGGGACACCAUACAACAUUUCAUAUGGAGUUUUACCAUUAGUAGUAUUAGGUAUAUUGUUAAUGCCCAAUUGUACCAUAGGAAUAAGUGGAUACCACUGUGUGGGGCGAGCAACUAGCAACUUGGUUAAUAGUCUUUUCACCUCAGCAUUUUUCCGUUCCACAACCCCACAACUUUGAGGGUGGUUGGGUGCACUGAUUUCCCAAAGUAACCCAAACGAGGUUGCCCAGUUCUGGGUUUCUUUUGCAGUAAAUGCAGGACCACCAUCUGAGUGGAUGGUCCUAGGCUUACCAAUGCAUACCAAGGAAGUGAGACUAGCAAUCGUGGUAUUAGAGGUCGCACUUCGCACAGGGUAUAACCAAGUAAACCUGGUACAUGCAUCAACACAUACUAAAACAUAUUUAUAACCGUGGGAUGGUGGCAAAGGUCCAAUAUGAUCAAUAUAUAAUAAUUCAAAAGGUACAUUGGGUAUGGAUUUUUCAAUAAAUGGUACGACUGAAUGAUUCAGUCUAUUCACUAAUAAGCAUUGCUUACAAUUACCAAUAACAUGAACAACAGUCCUUCUCAUAUUGGGCCACCAGUAUCUUUUUUUCAGAGUAAUAAGUACAUUAUCUCUACCCAAAUGAGCUUGUCCUAAUCCUGAAUGAGCCUCUAGUACAAGUUUUUCCCUCUCCGUUACAGGAGGAACAAUGAAGUUAUUACCAUCAAUGGUUACUAUACAAUCAACUCCUUCUAGAUGAUAGGAGUAUUUGGUAGGAUAGCCAGCUGGAUUAUGUCUGGUCUUAUCCAGGCAAGCAUUUAACUCUGCAUCUACUUUGAGAGAAAGGGUAUGUUUCUGUGAUCUAGUGACCACAUUAACAGAAUAGCUUUGGCUGACACUUUGCGCCAAAGUGUCUGCCAGCUGGUUGCCAACUGUAUGAGGUGAAGAACCUAACUUUCUGUGUGCAGGUUUUGAAACUAUAUCUAUGAAAUGUGAAACAUCUUUAUAUGCAAUUAAGAAUGAAACAUCCAAACUAGGAUGUUCAGCCAGUUCAAGAUUAACCUUCCUUCCAUUAACUUUAAUAGUAUCAUGAUAUAAAGGAUAUGUACCAUUGCCCUCUAAUGUUUCAAUAGUAACAUUAGAAAAUGGAUUGGUUUUUAAUAUGUUUUUCUGUACAAGUGAAAUUUCAGCUUGUGUAUCUAACACCCCUUCAUAUGUCCUCAGAUCAUAUGUAAUCUGCAAAUCAAGAUUAUUCAUCCUGAUUUUCUUCUUGUUCUGGGUUUUGAUUCUCGGUUUUCUUUAUUUUUUGUAUCUUUCUGGUUGUUGCUGGAGGAUGUGUUGGAGGAUGUGAGGAUGUUGAUGGGGUAGUAGAACUUUUAUCCUGUCCUGUUCUGUCUCUAUCCCUGAUGUAACGGACCGUUUUGCCCACAAGGGGUAAAAACCGUUUAGGUGAUCGGCCCCCUUUCCAGAGAUACAGGCACAGCUACUGCAGAACACCAAAACUCACGAACUGGAUACAAAAUAGCACUCCAACUCCCGAACUGGAACCUCCCAAAUGGCUGCUAGCAGACGAACAGGAAAAGCAGACGAACAGCUUACACUCCUGGCAAUCAGUCUCUAACAGCAUACAGUGAAUCCCCCCAAGAGCGAGACAAGGCUCCGUGUUGAGGGUCAAGCAGUGGUCUGAGGUGCUGGCACACCCAGCCUGGUUUUUAUUACAGUCUUGCAAAUACAGGACCGCCCACAGGGAGGGAUAAAACAACCAAUCAUAUCACAGUUACAUCCCACAUAUUCCCUCCCCUUAUCCUGAGAGGAAACUCAAUUAUACAAACAGUUAAAACAUACUUUCUACCCAACUUUCAUAACUCCAAAACCAUACAUCACAUUCACAUAAAAUUAUAUAUUCUCAAUCAAUCCAUUCAGGGGAACAACAUAUUCAAAAAUGGCACAAAUCAGACAAGGGGUUCAAAAGUUAGUAAAAAGUCCUUUGUGACUAAAUGAAGCAUGGCUUUCUGGCCCAAACCAGUUUCAGAGUCUUCUAUCCUGGAGAUAAGUAAUUCAAUUAAAUCCCAGGACAGACACAAGACUCUAUUAAGCACAUGGUUGCAAAGAGACACAAAACACUUUAAAAUACAUAAAGUCACAUUUAUACAUAAAACACAGACAUUUCACAUAUCCCCAGACAGCUCAGGUCUGAGCGCACAUUAUUAAGUGAAUGGCGCUCAGACCACACAAAUACAGUUUAAUCGCCAUGGAGCCAAAGUCUUUACAGUCAGUUUCAUACGAAUGGGCUCCAUGGGAUUCCUAUCUGGGGUGUAACACAUUCAAACAAAUCUACCAAACCCCAGGCAGAAAAGCACGAAUGAAGCUUUUCUGCAGGUAAAAAAGAUGUCUUUUAAAAGGGGCCAUAGUCCAAAGGCAGCAGGCGAGCAACCAGGCUUCUCCAAUGCAAUGUGGCGAGAUUGGUCUCGUCACAUCUCUCCCCUUUUCCAAACAGACUAACAGGGUAUCUGACCUCCUGCCGGUCAGUGCCCUUGUUAGUCCAACAGCCCACCCACAAAACAUAAUCAACAGCACAGCCCAUCCACAAUAAAUGGUUACUACACCUGGGUAAAGGAGAAGCUUGUCCAUGUCCAGGUGCCUCACCACGGCUGUGCUGGGUACGGGUACGCUGACUUGGUGGGUUGCUGCGUGGGCAGAGACCAGCGGCACUCUGCCCUGUUGCCAACGCUACUGGGAGGGUAGCCUGGUGGAAGCCUGGUUGUUGGAGGGGGAGACCGACUGUCUCCCCUUUAAAUACACCGCUCUGCUGCUGCUGCUGGAGACUGACUGUCUCCCCUUUAGAUGCACAGUCCUGCUGCUGGAGACCGACCGUCUCCCCUUUGGUUACCCAUCUCUGCUGCUUGAGGGGGAGACCGACUGUCUCCCCUUUGGCUAAACAGCCCUGUCGCUGGGGGGCAGGACCGACCGUCCCUACCCCCUGUGCUGGCAGUGUAGAGACUACGGUCCCAUCUGCACGGUUGUGGGGCUUACUGUCUCCCCCUGGUACAUUAAGCUGCAGCUGGGGAGAGGGGGUAACAAGCUCCUCUCCCAUACAUACUUCCAGCUGCGGGGGAGAGAGACCGACUGUCUCUGCUCCCAAUACAGAGUCCUGCUGCUGGGGAAAGGAGACUGGGCUCUCUAUUCCCGGUAGGACACUCUGCCGCUGGGGAAUGGAGACGGGGCUCCCAAUUCCCAAUGAUCUGUGCUGCUGCUGGGGAAUGGAGACUGGGCUCCCAAUUCCCAAAGCAUCAUACUGCCGCUGGGGAAUGGAGACUGGGCUCCCAAUUCCCAAAAAAUCACGCUGCCGCUGGGGAGGGAGGACACUGCUCCCCUCUCCCUGGACUUCCCACUGCCUUCCCGGCAUAUCACUUGGCUGCUGGGGAGGGAGGACGCUGUUCUCCUCUCCCUGCACUUUACACUGCCUUCCCGGCAUAUCACUCUGCUGCUGGGGGGCAGGAACAACUACCUCUGCCCCCUGUAACUCAGCCUGCCGCUGGGGAGGGAGGACGUUGCCCUCCUCUCCCUGCACUUUACACUGCCGCUGGGGAAUGGAGACUGGGCUCCCAAUUCCCGGCAUAUUACACUGCCGCUGGGGAAUGGAGACUGGGCUCCCAAUUCCCGGCAUUUCACACUGCCGCUGGGGAAUGGAGACUGGACUCCCAAUUCCCGGCAUAUCACACUGCUGCUGGGGAAAGGAGACACGGCUCUCUAUUCCCUGCAAAUCAAUCUGCCACUGGGGAUCUGGGCUGACCGCCCAGCAUCCCUGUAGGGCCGGUGGAGAGACUUCGGUCCCAUCUCCACCUGCCACCUGGGGUUCCUCCCAGUAAAUCUCAACAAUAUCAUCCCAGCUGAAGGGGUCUGAGACUGGAUCUGUCACUCUGCUGUCCUGCGGAGCCUUCCCAAUGGAGUGGAAGAGAUCUCGGUAGUCCUGCUCCAGUUCCCACUCCAGGGUUGCUAGGUGAGCCAGGUCUUGCUCUACCUCAUGGGGGUCAUCCCAGUCAUGCCUAGCCUCCUUCUAGUAGAAAAUUUCCUGAAGUCUGUUCUGCGCAGGGCUCCCGAAGUCAGGCUCUGCAAAGGACUCCCAUAACAAGCCAGGACCAUCAAACUCCUCUCCCUCUGGCUUGUCAUGCUCAGCUGUCCAGGGUAUAUACUGUGCCAUAUACCACCAGAGCGCCUGGUAGGCAUCCUCCAGCCAUAGCUCCUGCCACACCCGAUGCUCUAGUUCCUUCACCCAUUCCUCCAGGGGCUGCUCUCCCAGGAAGGGCAUCCGCAGGGCCACUUGCUUCUGCAACCGCUGCUCUUCACUGGGGAGACUCUCACCCCGCUGGUAUUGUACAUUAUCCAGGGCCUGGUACCAGAUGCCUUUCCUUAAUGCAUCCCGGCCAUCCAGGUCCUCCUCCUUGUAUAACACUGCUGGUUCCAUUCUGUUGCUUUUAGGGUCGCUGUACUGGGACAUGCGUUGCCCCCACUUGUAAAUCCAAAGAAAUGGUGUCUCCUGUAGCUGUCCUUCUGGCUGUAGGAACGAUCCCGCCGCUUGCCACCAAUUGUAACGGACCGUUUUGCACACAAGGGGUAAAAACCGUUUAGGCGAUCGGCCCCCUUUCCAGAGAUCCAGGCACAGCUACUGCAGAACACCAAAACUCACGAACUGGAUACAAAAUAGCACUCCAACUCCCGAACUGGAACCUCCCAAAUAGCUGCUAGCAGACGAACAGGAAAAGCAGACGAACAGCUUACACUCCUGGCAAUCAGUCUCUAACAGCAUACAGUGAAUCCCCCCAAGAACGAGACAAGGCUCCGUGUUGAGGGUCAAGCAGUGGUCUGAGGUGCUGGCACACCCAGCCUGGUUUUAUUACAGUGUUUCAAAUACAGGACCACCCACAGGGAGGGAUAAAACAACCAAUCAUAUCACAGUUACAUCCCACAUAUUCCCUCCCCUUAUCCUGAGAGGAAACUCAAUUAUACAAACAGUAAAAACAUACUUUCUACCCAACUUUCAUAACUCCAAAACCAUACAUCACAUUCACAUAAAAUUACAUAUUCUCAAUCAAUCCAUUCAGGGGAACAACAUAUUCAAAAAUGGCACAAAUCAGACAAGGGGUUCAAAAGUUAGUAAAAAGUCCUUUGUGACUAAAUGAAGCAUGGCUUUCUGGCCCAAACCAGUUUCAGAGUCUUCUAUCCUGGAGAUAAGUAAUUCAAUUAUCUCCCAGGACAGACACAAGACUCCAUUAAGCACAUGGUUGCAAAAAGACACAAAGCACUUUAAAAUACAUAAAGUCACAUUUAUACAUAAAACACAGACAUUUCACAUAUCCCCAGAUAGCUCAGGUCUGAGCGCACAUUAUUAAGUGAAUGGCGCUCGGACCACACAAAUACAGUUUAAUCACCAUGGAGCCAAAGUCUUUACAGUCAGUUUCAUACGAAUGGGCUCCAUGGGAUUCCCAUCUGGGGUAUAACACAUUCAAACAAAUCUACCAAACCCCAGGCAGAAAAGCACGAAUGAAGCUUUUCUGCAGGCAAAAAUAAAGUCUUUUAAAAGGGGGCCAUAGUCCAAAGGCAGCAGGCGAGCAACCAGGCUUCUCCAAUGCAAUGUGGCGAGAUUGGUCUCGUCACACCUGACUUGUCCUGGGGAUCCUCCGUAUUUGUCUGGACCUUUAACCCUUGGUCUCAAUCUAUAUCCUCCGCUAUAUCCAGGAAAUUCUGAAUAUCUUGGGGCUUCUCCUUUGGAAGUUGACUGAUAUCUUUCAGUACGAUCUACCUCUGUAGUCUGUUCUUUUUCCCUUUGAUAUGUCCUAUAUGAGGGACGAGAAUAAUCCCUGUUAGUUCCAUCUAUAGAUGUAGAUGGUCUAGAUUCCCUUUUUAUGAAUGUAGAACUUCUCCUAUCUUGUUUUUGCCUGUCUCUUCUAGGGGUAAAUGCUGCAUUGCUUUUCCUAUCUUUGUUUCCUGCUUUUUCUUUGCUUUUAUACCCCUCUCCUGUAAGAUCCUUACCUAAAAGUGUGUAUGUGCUCCUUAGGAUUUCAGGCAUUCUAUCACUUUUCUCAUUUUCGGUCAAUCCAUGCAACCUUCUUUCUAUGUCAAGUAUUAAUGCUUGACCUUUUACUAGUGGUUUCAAACAACCCCAAACCAUGGAAUGAUUUCUGCUUGUGAAUCUCAUCCCUAAAUUAUAUGCUGCUAUAAUCCCUGACUUUGUAUUCACUCCCGCCAGUGUGUCUGACAGUGUAGAAAUCGUCACUUUGCCAUAAGUCUUCUCAUAUAGAGUGGAUAUUACAAUAUCCCAGUUUUCAGCUUCAGCUUGUGUAAUUGACAGUCCAGAGGGCAGUAAUGCAUUUACUAGCCCCUGUCUCUGAACUGCAGUUUGAGUUGGGUAAACCCCAUCUAACGCAUGUGUUUUUUCAUUAAGCCAUAAUGCUAUUUCCUUAGCAGAUGUUGGUACUAUGCCAAUAGUAGCUUUAAUAUUAGACAUAGGAAUACCCUGUAUUCCUGUCCCCACUGUGUGAACUAUAGGAGCACUAACAAUUGGUGCUAUUAACGCCUGUCGUAACAAGUCUCUCAAGAAAAUAAUUUCUGGCAUUAACCUCUCUCUUUCUGCUCGUGCAGACUGUGCAGGUGCCGGUAAUUCAUGGCUGUGUACGGGAACAUAUAGUAAUCCCCUACCUCUACCCCACUGUCCUGGGACUAAUGGACCAUGUCUUGCUGGUGUAUUAGGUAUAUUAGGUCGUUUACCAAAUAGUUGUAUAUAUGUCUCUCUUGUCAUAUUAAUUAAGGUCUGUGUACUUAAAUCUGGUGGAGUGUUAGGUAGUUCUGUAAAUGUUGGCUGAUCUAGAUCCACAUUUUCCGCAUCAGUUAAUUGCUGAUUACAGCAUACCUGGCUCCUGCACCCCAAGGGCCUUGUACAAUUUCACAUAGUACNNNNNNNNNNNNNNNNNNNNNNNNNNNNNNNNNNNNNNNNNNNNNNNNNNNNNNNNNNNNNNNNNNNNNNNNNNNNNNNNNNNNNNNNNNNNNNNNNNNNCGGCGCAUCGCCUCGGCCGGCGCCUAGCAGCUGGCUUAGAACUGGUGCGGACCGGGGGAAUCCGACUGUUUAAUUAAAACAAAGCAUCGCGAAGGCCUGAGGCAGGUGUUGACGCGAUGUGAUUUCUGCCCAGUGCUCUGAAUGUCAAAGUGAAGAAAUUCAAUGAAGCGCGGGUAAACGGCGGGAGUAACUAUGACUCUCUUAAGGUAGCCAAAUGCCUCGUCAUCUAAUUAGUGACGCGCAUGAAUGGAUGAACGAGAUUCCCACUGUCCCUACCUACUAUCUAGCGAAACCACAGCCAAGGGAACGGGCUUGGCGGAAUCAGCGGGGAAAGAAGGCCCUGUUGAGCUUGACUCUAGUCUGCAACUGUGAAGAGACAUGAGAGGUGUAGGAUAAGUGGGAGGCCCCCGCUCCUUCGCGAGCCACGGGGCGCCGCCGGUGAAACACCACUACUCUUAUCGUUUU